rnacentral:rRNA from 1 species
UACAGAGGUCUCAAGCGUUGUUCGGAUUCAUUGGGCGUAAAGAGCUCGUAGGCGGUUUGUCGCGUCGGCCGUGAAAUCUCCACGCUUAACGUGGAGCGUGCGGUCGAUACGGGCAGACUUGAGUUCGGUAGGGGAGACUGGAAUUCCUGGUGUAGCGGUGAAAUGCGCAGAUAUCAGGAGGAACACCGGUGGCGAAGGCGGGUCUCUGGGCCGAUACUGACGCUGAGGAGCGAAAGCGUGGGGAGCGAACAGG